rnacentral:rRNA from 1 species
UGGGGAAUAUUGGACAAUGGGGGGAACCCUGAUCCAGCCAUGCCGCGUGUGUGAAGAAGGCCUUAUGGUUGUAAAGCACUUUAAGCGAGGAGGAGGGUACUGGUAUUAAUACUACCAGCUACUGGACGUUACUCGCAGAGUAAGCACCGGCUAACUCUGUGCCAGCAGCCGCGGUAAUACAGAGGGUGCGAGCGUUAAUCGGAUUUACUGGGCGUAAAGCGUGCGUAGGCGGCUAAUUGAGUCGGAUGUGAAAUCCCCGAGCUUAACUUGGGAAUUGCAUUCGAUACUGGUUAGCUAGAGUGUGGGAGAGGAUGGUAGAAUUCCAGGUGUAGCGGUGAAAUGCGUAGAGAUCUGGAGGAAUACCGAUGGCGAAGGCAGCCAUCUGGCCUAACACUGACGCUGAGGUACGAAAGCAUGGGGAGCAAACAGG